CCUACGGGAGGCAGCAGUAGGGAAUAUUGCUCAAUGGGGGAAACCCUGAAGCAGCAACGCCGCGUGGAGGAUGAAGGUUUUCGGAUUGUAAACUCCUUUUGUUAGAGAAGAUAUUGAGGGUAUCUAACGAAUAAGCACCGGUUAACUCCGUGCCAGCAGCCGCUGUAAUACGGAGGGUGCAAGCGUUACUCGGAAUCACUGGGCGUAAAGCGCGCGUAGGCGGGAUAGCAAGUCAGAUGUGAAAUCCUAUGGCUUAACCAUAGAACUGCAUUUGAAACUGUUAUUCUAGAGUAGGGGAGAGGUAGGUGGAAUUCUUGGUGUAGGGGUAAAAUCCGUAGAGAUCAAGAGGAAUACUCAUUGCGAAGGCGACCUGCUAGAACAUAACUGACGCUGAUGCGCGAAAGCGUGGGGAGCGAACAGGAUUAGAUACCCGGGUAGUC
rnacentral:rRNA from 1 species